GGAUGUGAGGGUGAUCUGGCUGCAACAUCUGUCACCCCAUUGAUCGCCAGGAUUGGUUCGGCUGAUCUGGCUGGCUAGGCGGUGUCCCCUUCCUCCCUCACCGCUCCAUGUGCGUCUCUCCCCAAGCUGCGCGCUUGGUUGAAGAGGACGACCAUCCCUGCUAGAGGAGGACCAGUCUUCAGUCAAGGGUAUACGAGUAGCUGCGCUCCCCUGCUAGAACCUCCAAACAAGCUCUCAUCAAAUAAGUACAACUGGAUCUGACCCAGACCAAGGGUCAUGAAUCAAAACUCUGCCAGAGUCU
ensembl:misc_RNA 7SK 7SK RNA